GAUGAACGCUAGCGGGAGGCCUAACACAUGCAAGCCGAGCGGUAUUUGUUCUUCGGAACAGAGAGAGCGGCGCACGGGUGCGGAACACGUGUGCAACCUGCCUUUAUCUGGGGGAUAGCCUUUCGAAAGGAAGAUUAAUACCCCAUAAUAUAUUGAGUGGCAUCAUUUGAUAUUGAAAACUCCGGUGGAUAGAGAUGGGCACGCGCAAGAUUAGAUAGUUGGUGAGGUAACGGCUCACCAAGUCAAUGAUCUUUAGGGGGCCUGAGAGGGUGAUCCCCCACACUGGUACUGGGACACGGACCAGACUCCUACGGGAGGCAGCAGUGAGGAAUAUUGGACAAUGGGUUAGCGCCUGAUCCAGCCAUCCCGCGUGAAGGACGACGGCCCUAUGGGUUGUAAACUUCUUUUGGAGAGGGAUAAACCUACUCUCGUGAGAGUAGCUGAAGGUACUAUACGAAUAAGCACCGGCUAACUCCGUG
rnacentral:rRNA from 1 species